rnacentral:rRNA from 1 species
ACGAACGCUAGCGGCAUGCUUCAAACAUGCAAGUUGUACGCGAAAGGUAGCAAUACCGAGUAGAGUGGCGCACGGGUGCGUAACACGUAGCUAAUGUACCCUCUCGCUGGGGAUAACUCCGGGAAACCGGAGCUAAUACCGAAUGAUCUCAACGGAACCACGGUUCUGUUGGGUAAAGCCCUAGGGCGCGAGAGGAUCGGGCUGCGGCCGAUUAGCUAGUUGGUGGGGUAAUGGCUCACCAAGGCGACGAUCGGUAGCUGGUCUGAGAGGAUGAUCAGCCACACUGGAACUGGAACACGGUCCAGACUCCCACGGGAGGCAGCAGUUGGGAAUAUUGGACAAUGGGGGAAACCCUGAUCCAGCAAUGCCGCGUGAGGGAUGAAGGCCUUCGGGUCGUAAACCUCUUUUAGCAGGGAAAAAGCUUCUAUCUUAAUCGGUAGAGGUUGAUGGUACCUGCAGAAAAAGCACCGGCUAACUCUGU